AAGGUCCUAGCUUAAUUAAAGCGUCUGAGUUGCAUUCAGAAAAUGUGGGUUAGUAUCCUACGGGUCUUA
rnacentral:tRNA from 1 species